UUUGGGAUAUAAUCCAUAUGGCAUAAACGAACAAACAUUGGUUGAUUGGGUUUUGCGAUUUAAUCCCACAAGGGAUUGGGUGAAAGGCUUGGAUUCACCCAAUCCAUGUGUGGGGGGGGAUCAACCUGGGAAAGAAUCCCAAAGUGCCGAACAAGGCCUAAAGUGGUUUGGGGUUUUGGAAAUGUUGCCAGCAAAGAUAGAACAUGACUUCAUGAGGUUAAAUGAGCCAAAACAAAUUCAUAUCAUGUACACCAUAAAUCCAAGUUAUGCAAUAAAUUUUGAUUCCUUUCAUUGUUGCAUAAGACAAACAGGAACCAAGUAGCAGACAGCCACUUAACA
rnacentral:misc_RNA from 1 species